rnacentral:rRNA from 1 species
UGGGGAAUUUUGGACAAUGGGCGCAAGCCGGAUCCAGCCAUGCCGCGUGAGUGAAGAAGGCCUUCGGGUUGUAGAGCUCUUUCGGACGGGAAGAAGUGGCGGGCUCUAACAUAGCCUGUCGAUGACGGUACCGUAAGAAGAAGCACCGGCUAACUACGUGCCAGCAGCCGCGGUAAUACGUAGGGUGCGAGCGUUAAUCGGAAUUACUGGGCGUAAAGCGUGCGCAGGCGGUUUUGUAAGACAGAUGUGAAAUCCCCGGGCUUAACCUGGGAACUGCGUUUGUGACUGCAAGGCUGGAGUACGGCAGAGGGGGGUGGAAUUCCACGUGUAGCAGUGAAAUGCGUAGAGAUGUGGAGGAACACCGAUGGCGAAGGCAGCCCCCUGGGCCUGUACUGACGCUCAUGCACGAAAGCGUGGGGAGCAAACA